rnacentral:misc_RNA from 1 species
GUAGGUGAACCUGCGGAAGGAUCAUUACCGAGUGCGGCCCUCGUGGCCCAACCUCCCACCCUUGUCUCUAUACACCUGUUGCUUUGGCGGGCCCACCGGGGUCACCUGGUCGCCGGGACAAUCUGUCCCCGGGCCGCGCCCGCCGAAGCGCUCUGUGAACCCUGAUGAAGAUGGGCUGUCUGAGUACUAUGAAAAUUGUCAAAACUUUCAACAAUGGAUCUCUUGGUUCCGGCAUCGAUGAAGAACGCAGCGAAAUGCGAUAAGUAAUGUGAAUUGCAGAAUUCCGUGAAUCAUCGAAUCUUUGAACGCACAUUGCGCCCCUGGCAUUCCGGGGGGCAUGCCUGUCCGAGCGUCAUUUCUGCCCUCAAGCACGGCUUGUGUGUUGGGUGCGGUCCCGGGACCUGCCCGAAAGGCAGCGGCGACGUCCGUCUGGUCCUCGAGCGUAUGGGGCUUUGUCACUCGCUCGGGAAGGGCUGGCGGGGGUUGGUCACCACCAAAA